rnacentral:rRNA from 1 species
UCACCCGCUGAAUUUAGGCAUAUUAUUAAGCGGAGGAAACGAAACUAACCAGGAUUCCCCUAGUAACGGCGAGCGAA